CAGUCGCCGCGGUAAUACGGAGGGUGCAAGCGUUAAUCGGAAUUACUGGGCGUAAAGCGCACGCAGGCGGUCUGACAAGUCAGAUGUGAAAUCCCCGGGCUUAACCUGGGAACUGCAUUUGAAACUGUCAGGCUGGAGUCUUGUAGAGGGGGGUGGAAUUCCAGGUGUAGCGGUGAAAUGCGUAGAGAUCUGGAGGAAUACCGGUGGCGAAGGCAAUCCCCUGGGCCUGCACUGACGCUCAUGCACGAAAGCGUGGGGAGCAAACAGGAUUAGAUACCCCUGUAGUCCCUGUCUCUUAUAC
rnacentral:rRNA from 1 species